AUUGAACGCUGGCGGCAGGCCUAACACAUGCAAGUCGAGCGCGCGGCGGACGGGGGAGUAAUGUAUGGGGACUGUCCGUUAGAGGGGGAUAACUACUGGAAAAGGUAGCUCAUACCGCAUACUAUAGGAUAACCCAUAGGGGAUUAGCUAGUAGGUGAGGGAAUGGCUCACCUAGGCGACGAUCCCUAGCUGGUCUGAGAGGAUGAUCAGCCACACGGGGACUGAGACACGGCCCAGACUCCUACGGAGGCAGCAGUGGGGAAUAUUGCACAAUGGGCGCAAGCCUGAUGCAGCCAUGCCGCGUGUAUGAAGAAGGCCCUAGGGUUGUAAAGUACUUUCAGUCGGGAGGCGUUACCGACAGAAGAAGCACCGGCUAACUCCGUGCCAGCCGCCGCGGUAAUUC
rnacentral:rRNA from 1 species